rnacentral:lncRNA from 1 species
GGAAAUUUUGCUGUUUUUGGUUAUUAUCUUGAAUAUUAUUAUAGAUAGAGAUAAACUGUAUACAGGAAUAAUGUUCAGCAAAGUAAGAUUUACAAUUAAGUCAACAUGACGGAAAUGGUCAGUUGACCCCUUUAGGAGUUAUUGCCCUUUAUAGUCAAUUUUUAACCAUUUUUCGUAAAUCUUAGUAAUCUUUUACAAAAAUCUUCUCCUCUGAAACUACUGGGCCAAA